UUUUAGCGCUGAAUAUUCUCCUCUACUGUGGACACGCUCAAGAUGCUUUGCUGCAUAUUGAGCCAAACUGGUCCCCUUUAUUUACUGGAGAGAAAGUUUCCUUCAUAUGUGACUCAAGGGAAGGAAACGACACUGACUGGAAUUACUCAUUCAGUAGGAAUGAUCAUUUCUUUACCACCAACAGAACAG